rnacentral:rRNA from 1 species
UUGAACGCUGGCGGCAUGCUUUACACAUGCAAGUCGAACGGCAGCGGGGGCUUCGGCCUGCCGGCGAGUGGCGAACGGGUGAGUAAUGCAUCGGAACGUGCCCAGUCGUGGGGGAUAACGCAGCGAAAGCUGUGCUAAUACCGCAUACGAUCUAUGGAUGAAAGCGGGGGAUCGCAAGACCUCGCGCGAUUGGAGCGGCCGAUGUCAGAUUAGCUAGUUGGUGGGGUAAAGGCCCACCAAGGCGACGAUCUGUAGCUGGUCUGAGAGGACGACCAGCCACACUGGGACUGAGACACGGCCCAGACUCCUACGGGAGGCAGCAGUGGGGAAUUUUGGACAAUGGGCGCAAGCCUGAUCCAGCAAUGCCGCGUGCAGGAAGAAGGCCUUCGGGUUGUAAACUGCUUUUGUACGGAACGAAAAGGUCUGGGUUAAUACCCUGGGCUCAUGACGGUACCGUAAGAAUAAGCACCGGCUAACUACGU